UGUGCCCAGAUGGGAUUAGCUAGUAGGUGGGGUAACGGCUCACCUAGGCGACGAUCCCUAGCUGGUCUGAGAGGAUGACCAGCCACACUGGAACUGAGACACGGUCCAGACUCCUAAGGGAGGCAGCAUG
rnacentral:rRNA from 1 species